rnacentral:rRNA from 1 species
CGGUCCAGACUCCUACGGGAGGCAGCAGUAGGGAAUCUUCCGCAAUGGGCGAAAGCCUGACGGAGCAACGCCGCGUGAGUGAUGAAGGUUUUCCGGAUCCGAAAACUCUGUUAUUAGGGAGAACAAAUGCGUAAGUAACUCGUGCGCAUCUUGACGGUACCUAAUCAGAAAGCCACGGCUAACUACGUGCCAGCAGCCGCGGUAA